GAUGAACGCUGGCGGCGUGCCUAAUACAUGCAAGUCGAACGAAGAUCUAGCUUGCUAGAUCUUAGUGGCGAACGGGUGAGUAAUACAUAAAUAAUCUGCCCAUAUGACUGGGAUAAAUAUUGGAAACGAUAGCUAAUACCGGAUAGGUUGAUCGGAGACAUCUCUGAUGCAUUAAAGUAGGAUUUCUACACAAAUGGAUUAGUUUAUGGCGCAUUAGUUAGUUGGUGGGGUAACGGCCUACCAAGACGAGGAUGCGUAGCCGACCUGAGAGGGUGACCGGCCACACUGGGACUGAGACACGGCCCAGACUCCUACGGGAGGCAGCAGUAGGGAAUUUUCGGCAAUGGGCGCAAGCCUGACCGAGCAACGCCGCGUGAGUGAUUAAGGCCUUCGGGUUGUAAAGCUCUGUUGUAAGGGAAGAACAUUCAGGAUAGGAAAUGAUCUUGAACUGACGGUACCUUACCAGAAAGCCACGGCUAACUACGUGCCAGCCGCCGCAGUAA
rnacentral:rRNA from 1 species